CGGACCGGCGCACGGGUGAGUAACGCGUAUGCAACUUACCUAUCAGAGGGGAUAACCCGGCGAAAGCCGGACUAAUACCGCAUGAAGCAGGGGCCCCGCAUGGGGAUAUUUGCUAAAGAUUCAUCGCUGAUAGAUAGGCAUGCGUUCCAUUAGGCAGUUGGCGGGGUAACGGCCCACCAAACCGACGAUGGAUAGGGGUUCUGAGAGGAAGGUCCCCCACAUUGGAACUGAGACACGGUCCAA
rnacentral:rRNA from 1 species